UACGUAGGGUGCAAGCGUUGUCCGGAAUUAUUGGGCGUAAAGGGCUCGUAGGCGGUUCGGUAAGUCGGGUGUGAAAACUCUGGGCUCAACCCAGAGCCGCCACCCGAUACUGCUGUGACUCGAGUGCGGUAGGGGAGCGGGGAAUUCCUGGUGUAGCGGUGAAAUGCGCAGAUAUCGGGAGGAACACCUAUGGCGAAGGCAGCUCGCUGGGACGUUACUGACGCUGAGACGCGAAAGCGUGGGGAGCAAACAGG
rnacentral:rRNA from 1 species